rnacentral:hammerhead_ribozyme from 1 species
AGCAGCUGACGAGUCCCAAUCAGGACGAAACGCGCGUCCGGGAU